CAGAAAAGUGAACAAAGUUCCUAUAAAAUAUGACCAAGUUAGUGGCUAGCCAGUUGCUCCUUUUGAGCUGGUGCUGCCUGGCGGCUUUGUGCCAGGGCAAGUCUAUAAUCGAGGACAAUAGUAUCAUCCAGAACUCCAUUGACGACGAGUUCGAGGGAGACAACUUUCCCAGUUGUGAUGUUUUCUGCCGUGGCAACCUGUUACACACCAUCCAAAUGGCGCAACUUUUCGAAGACUCCAAGACUUUUGUGGACAUGAAGCUCAAAAAUAGUCCGGAUAAGACCCUCGCGGAUUUUGAAAAGAUGAUGGAGAACAAAAAUCAAACUCCCUCCCGGGACGAUUUAGUAAAGUUUGUCGACGACUACUUCAGCCCCAAGGGAACCGAACUGGAAGAGUAUAUGCCAGCGGACUGGGUAAAGAGCCCCAGCUUUCUUGAUGUCAUUCACGACCCUGACCUGAAGCAGUGGGGAAAGGAUCUGAACAGUAUCUGGAAGGAGCUAGGCCGUAAAAUGAAAGACGACGUGUCGAAAAACCCACAAUAUUAUUCAAUUAUCCCUGUGCCAAACCCGGUAAUUAUUCCUGGAGGUCGUUUCAUUGAGUUCUACUACUGGGACUCCUACUGGAUCAUCCGAGGACUGCUCUACAGCGACAUGAAGGACACCGCUCGCGGUAUGAUCGAGAACUUUUUGUCGAUUGUGACACGUGUCGGAUACAUUCCGAACGGAGGACGCGUCUACUACUACGGACGAUCCCAGCCACCGCUUCUAACUGCCAUGGUGAAGUCGUACGUGGACUUCACCAACGACAUCGCUUUCGGCAUCAAAGCUCUAGAUGCGUUGGAGCACGAAUUCGAAUACUUCAUGAACAACCACUCGGUGGAGGUUAAGGGACACAGUCUGAUGAACUACCGGGAUGCCUCGACAGGUCCGCGUCCAGAGUCCUACCGCGAGGAUAUUUUAUCCGCGGCAUCAUUUGCAACCGAAGAAGAAAAGGAGGACCACUACAGGGAGCUCAAGGCUGCUGCCGAGUCCGGAAUGGAUUUCAGUUCCCGCUGGUUCAUCAACGCCAACGGCACCAAUGUUGGAAAUCUCACUGACCUCAAGACCCGGUCCAUUGUGCCGGUCGACCUCAAUGCAUUACUGUUCAUGAAUGCCAAGAUAAUAGCCGAACUGCACUCCAAGAACAAUAACGCCGAAAAGGUUACCGAAUACGAGAAAAAGGCCCAAAAAAUUCUGCAAGGUAUCCAAGAAGUUCUGUGGAACGAAGAGGCUGGCGUCUGGCUGGACUACGACAUGAUUAACAAGAAGUCUCGCGACUACUUCGUACCCACCAACCUGGUACCGCUCUAUGCGAAUGCCUUUAACAUUACAGAUUCGGAGAAGAUCUCGGCCAAGGUCCUGAACUAUAUAAAGAAAAACAAGCUGGACACAUUCCCGGGCGGAGUGCCCAAUACUUUAUAUAACACUGGUGAACAAUGGGACUUGCCCAACGUUUGGGCUCCGAUGCAGUAUUUUUUGGUCGAGGGUAUUAACAACCUGAACACACCAGAGGCGAAGGCGCUGUCUAAGGAGUGGGCCAUCCGCUGGGUGAAGUCCAACUUCAAGGCUUACAAAGACGGCCGCCACAUGUACGAGAAGUACAAUGCCGAGGAGUUCGGCGGCCAUGGCGGUGGCGGCGAGUACGGAGUGCAGACCGGAUUUGGCUGGUCCAAUGGCGUUAUCAUCGAGUGGCUGGCCAAGCACGGCCGUGAGAUGUCGGUAACCGGCGCUGCUCCAGCAGGUGAAAAGAAGAAAUGUGUGCCGUGUGAAUGUGAUUGAAUGUGCAGUGCGAGUUGCCGGCCAGCGGCAAUCCAUCACUCACCAUCGACACCUCAUCACAGGCUCCAAGCCAAAGAUCUUUGACAUCAAUUGAUUUAUAGAAAUAGAAUUUUUACAAUCCAUCCCGAAGCGCUCAUUACCAGCUCAUCCGUAGGUUAAGCAAAGCUCUCUUUUUCCACAAAACUAUCCUUUUCUUUGCCGCUGUGUAACCGUCUCUAUACCGCGCCAAUUCAACCAAUUACAAUCGAGUACCCAGAACCAUGAACCAAAGCACCACAGUCACAGCAUUGCCAGGAGCCCGAAGCAAGGAUACGACGUCUACCAUCUACACAGCAUCCUGUACUGUCUGUACCCAUGAAUUCGCCUUCCUGUGUGCACAUCUAUGUGACUCGUACAAAUUAAAUAAAAUUCACAUUUCAAAUGACCAAAAUAAACAUCCAAAAGAUGUGUCCCACACAACGCUCGCUCAAGUUCCAGAAUCACGUCUACUCCACUGACCAGCAUCGUGGGCAUUGCAACAGCGGUCAUCCUGGCUCUUGUAGUGACUCCUAUUUUGUGGUGAGAUACUCUGUGUCAAGCGCCCAAUCAUUGCUUCCCAACGAGAAUGUGAUUCAUCCAUGUGCGUGCCUGUGUUUAUAGUGUUUGUGGUUUUUCAGUCCUUUCGUUGAAUGCGGAGGUUGCAGUAUUAGAUUUUCGUUAUGCGUUAGUUGAAGUGAGAGUUUGUAAAUACAGAAUUUAAUUGGGCAUGCCCGAUAACGUUAUUACUUUUAUACAUAUAUGUAGUAAAUACCUAACCUAUCCUAGAUCCUCGCAACCAAAUGAAGACACAAAUACAAUUGUUAACAAUAAUUUACAAAAUAUUUUUGAAUAAACAAGCCCCAAAAUACA